rnacentral:rRNA from 1 species
UCGGGAAUAUUGCGCAAUGGAGGAAACUCUGACGCAGUGACGCCGCGUGCAGGAAGAAGGUUUUCGGAUUGUAAACUGCUUUAGACAGGGAAGAGAAAGGACAGUACCUGUAGAAUAAGCUCCGGCUAACUACGUGCCAGCAGCCGCGGUAAUACGUAGGGAGCGAGCGUUAUCCGGAUUUAUUGGGUGUAAAGGGUGCGUAGACGGGAAUACAAGUUAGUUGUGAAAUACCUCGGCUUAACUGAGGAACUGCAACUAAAACUAUAUUCUUGAGUACUGGAGAGGCAAUCGGAAUUCCUAGUGUAGCGGUGAAAUGCGUAGAUAUUAGGAGGAACACCAGUGGCGAAGGCGGAUUGCUGGGACAGCAACUGACGGUGAGGCGCGAAAGUGUGGGGAGCAAACAGGAUUAGAUACCCUGGUAGU